rnacentral:lncRNA from 1 species
CUUCCAAAGAUUUUCCGAUGUAGGGAGUAUGUUAUUGAUAGCUCGCCAUAAGAAAAUCUUUAUCUUCUCAGGCACGACCAGCUUCCACAGGGCACCCCAAAGGUUUGAAUUCUAAGAUGAGUAGCAAGGUUGAUCUGGAAAUUUUAAUCUCAUCGCCACUUGGUAACCACUUUUCACAUAAUACUUCCCUCUUCUGUCAUAAUGCCAAAUGAGCUGGUCCUCUUUUGGUCUUUUAGGGAGGGGAAUUUUUGGAAUGGCUUCCGCAUCCUCCCUUGCGAAGGAGUCGUGGAUCAGCCCCUCCUUCCAUCUUUGCUGACCAUCAAUUAACUCUGCCACUGUAGAGUCUACCCUUAUUGCUGGAUCUAAGACAGGCCUGAAAGUUGAAGGUCUGGGCAGC